UACGUAGGUGGCAAGCGUUACUCGGAAUCACUAGGCGUAAAGCGCAGGUAGGCGGUUUGGUAAGUCUUUUGUGAAAGCUCCCGGCUCAACUGGGAGAGGUCAAAGGAAACUACCAGGCUAGAGUGUGGUAGGGGAUACUGGAAUUCCUGGUGUAGCGGUGAAAUGCGUAGAUAUCAGGAGGAAUACCUGUGGCGAAAGCAGGUAUCUGGGCCAUCACUGACGCUGAGAAGCGAAAGCAUGGGGAGCAAACAGG
rnacentral:rRNA from 1 species